UCAGUAACACGUGGACAACCUGCCCUUAGGUUGGGUAUAAACCCGGGAAACUGGGUAUAAUACCCGAUAGGUCUCGAUUGCUGGAAUGCAUCGAGAUUUAAAGCUCCGGCGCCUAAGGAUGGGUCUGCGGCCUAUCAGGUAGUAGUGGGUGUAGCGUACCUACUAGCCUACGACGGGUACGGGUUGUGAGAGCAAGAGCCCGGAGAUGGAUUCUGAGACACGAAUCCAGGCCCUACGGGGUGCAGCAGGCGCGAAAACUUUACAAUGCGGGAAACCGUGAUAAGGGGAUCUCGAGUGCCAGCAUAUAAUGUUGGCUGUCCAGAUGCCUAAAAAGCAUCUGUUAGCAAGGGCCGGGCAAGACCGGUGCCAGCCGCCGCGGUAACGCCGGCGGCCCGAGUGGUAACCGCUAUUAUUGGGUCUAAAGGGUCUGUAGCCGGCCAGGUAAGUCCCUUGGGAAAUCUGGCAGCUCAACUGUCAGGCCGCUAGGGGAUACUGUUUGGCUUGGGACCGGGAGAGGUGAGAGGUACCUUGGGGGUAGGGGUGAAAUCUUGUGAUCCUCGAGGGACCACCAGUGGCGAAGGCGUCUCACCAGAACGGGUCCGACGGUAAGGGACGAAAGCUAGGGGCACGAACCGGAUUAGAUACCCGGGUAGUCCUAGCCGUAAACGAUGCUCGCUAGGUGUCAGUCACGGUGCGACCGUGAUUGGUGCCGUAAGGAAGCCGUGAAGCGAGCCACCUGGGAAGUAUGGCCGCAAGGCUGAAACUUAAAGGAAUUGGCGGGGGAGCACUACAACGGGUGGAGCCUGCGGUUUAAUUGGAUUCAACGCCGGG
rnacentral:rRNA from 1 species